GGAACGGCGAGUUAUGGUAGUGAUUUUUCAAAAGUACAGCAGCAUGCGUGGUAAACUUUGACGUACUGAUGGUACUACCUUGUGAGGACAUCAUCUUCGUUUGAAUCACUCCAGAUCCUGUACGAGCGGCACUAUGGAAGAUAUCCACUUGUGAAGAAGUAAGAAGCUGUGGAAUGGAUGAAAAACCUGGAUUUGGAGCUGUAACAUGACCCCUAUAUUGACCGUAUACCGGGAAAAGGAUUAUGGAAUAAUUGAAGAACUUCUGCUCUAUAUUAUUGUUUCUGGUGCUGCCGACGGACGCCAUACGAAAUAAAUAAAUAAUUGAUAAAUAACAAACCAGUGUACACUGUAUAGUUAAAUACAUCAACCAAUAUUUAGGGUGUGUUUGAACUUUUGAAGGACUUGACGAUUUCACACAAUCACAC